rnacentral:lncRNA from 1 species
UAUUCCCAACUUGUAUUAUUAGAGUGAAUACAAGAACACUAAGAUUUUCGGCCACACAAUGGCCAGGACAAAGACUCCCCCGACUCCUUGCCCCAAUUACAAGUUCACAAAGCCAACCCUAUGGCCAAGACAAAAGAAUUCCCUAACUCUCUGCCCGAAAUGAACUUGGAAGGAAAACAAAGACUUCCUACCCGAAGGAAGCCAACUUAGACAGAUUUGGCCCCUGCUCAAAUACUAUAGGCUAAGUACAAUACGUUUCUCAUGCCUUUCUUGGCUUAACAUAGGCAUCUAUUUAUAGGCUACAUUCGGUUGACAAGCCCCAACCGAUGGGUUAUCAUGCCUAAAACGUGGGCACUCUUCAUGGUCCAUGAUCAGCAUUUUGCCCCAUGAUCAGCAUGUCUGCCCCAUGAUCAGCAUGUCUGCCCCAUGAUCAGCAUGAUUGUUCCAUGAUCAGCACGUUUGUAGGAGAGUGGCAGCAACCGCCAACUGCUUUCAUGUGCAUUGCAUGUGCGCCUUGGCCGAGCUGAUCCGCGCCUAAGGCUGGC